rnacentral:rRNA from 1 species
UACGAAGGGGCUAGCGUUGCUCGGAAUCACUGGGCGUAAAGGGUGCGUAGGCGGGUCUUUAAGUCAGGGGUGAAAUCCUGGAGCUCAACUCCAGAACUGCCUUUGAUACUGAAGAUCUUGAGUUCGGGGAGAGGUGAGUGGAACUGCGAGUGUAGAGGUGAAAUUCGUAGAUAUUCGCAAGAACACCAGUGGCGAAGGCGGCUCACUGGCCCGAUACUGACGCUGAGG